GCCGGGAGCAUCGGCCCAAACCUCUUCCGGCAAACAGUCAGCAAGGGUACCCGCGGACAUCUCCCGGUGACUGCAAGCUGUUCCCACUACCGUUUCUUGCAAGGCGUCUUCUCAUGAGGUUACACACCCAAGUCGUCUUGUCUGCCACCGCCGCCCAUCUCUUACUAUAACAAGGACGACGCGGCCAUCAUACGUCUGGCGGCAGUGUACCGGCUCCCGCAGCCGCGGCCGCUCAUUUUGCUGGGUCAGCAGUUUUUCAACCUCCAUUGCGAGUCCUCCGAUGUCAGCCCAUCCCUCACCUCUCACCGCCGCUGUGGCCGCGGCCGAGGUUUCCUGACGCGCCUACAACGACUGCACGUCACCCAGGGCAUCACAGGCCGUCGCCCUCUCCACUACAUCUGCUGAUUAAUCUUGAGAAGAACCGCCGUUCUGCCCUCCCUUUGGCCUUCAAACCGAGCGGGAAGUUGGUUGACUUCGUCUCAGAGUUAGAGGUCAAGGUUCAGGAACACCCUCACCAUCAACCCCUCGCCCCAGCUGCAGCAUUGCAGGCACAAAGUCCUCCAACGGUUAUGUCGCCAUUGUGAUGGCUGUUUGUUAUUUUUCCAAGUGAAUUGAGACUCGCCCUUUAAAAUCGAAGGAAGCUGUAGAAGUGGCUCGGUUCCUGUACGAGGACAUUAUCUGUCGUCAUGGAUGUGUUGCUAUACAGAUCAAUGACCAGGGCAGAGAGUUUGUGAACUCAGUCUCAGCAGAGCUCCACACGCUCACAGGAACAACGCAAAGAAUCACAGCUGCUUAUCAUCUUCAAGCCAAUGGAUUAGUCGAGCGCAGCAACCGAACAGUUCAAAAUCUUCUGCUUCGAACUCUGAGUGAUCGACAUGAAAACUGGGACAAAUGUUUGCACGGCGUCUUAUUUGCACUGAGAUCUACAGUCCAGGCCUCCACGAGGUUUUCACCAUUCAAGAUGUUAUAUGGCCGAGAACCUGUCCUUCCCAUCGAUGUGGACCACGAGUUCGCUGGCUGCACCUCCGAUCCUGACGAUCCUGAAUUUGAGGAGUCUGACUUCCAUGCAACACUCUCAAAGCUCGAAAUAUUACAUGAUGUUGUUUUCAAGAAAGCUGAUGCCAACAUUGAGCGAGCUCAGGCAAGCAAGCUGAUUUAGCAACGAGGCGAUACAAACAAAAGAAUUUCAUCGUGGGUGACAAGGUGUUGCGUUACAACCUCUGCAGAGCCGACAGAAAAGGAGGCAAGCAAACCGAUCCAUGGGAUGGUCCCUACGAGGUGGCUCAAGUUUGCGAGAAGGGGCUAUACUGUCUCAUUAAUUCAUCCACGAAAGUCACCCUCAAGGCGAAAGUGAACGGAUGCAACAUGAAGCCCUUCUUCGAACGCACUCCAGAAGCUUUACCACCGACUCCCUCAGUUACGUCAUCUCCGCCAUCUCCAAGUGUCCAAAUAGUCGGGGUUCAGCAAGAAGAGAUUAUUUACAAGUUCUCUCCAUUGACGGUUGCAACGCACCGAUCAAUCUGCAACAAAUCUGGUGGACGUCUGGUAUUCAAGAAAUAUCAGGUCCAUCCGGAAAAAAAAAGACCUUCAAAAACAAGAUCGAACCUCUUCCGUUAAAGCAACUGAAGGUAACGGAAAUUGUAUUUUCCGUGCAUUGUCAUAUGCCAUCACUGGAGAAGAGGACCAACACGACGUUGUCAGAAGCUUGAUGUGACUUCAUUGCCAGCAUUGAAAACAUCAAAGUUGAAUCAAUGCGUCAGAAUAAAGUGUGCGGAACAACAACAGAUAUGUUAGCAGCAGCCAACAUGUUCCAUGUGAAUGUAUGUGUGUGGGCAAAGUUUGGUUCUAUGCACACAUGGCAUAAACAUAGGCCGAAAUGCAGAGAAGUAGUAAACAAGUCAGUGUACCUCGACAAUAAAGCAGGCAACCAUUUUAAUGUAGUUAUUCGUGUGUACUGUGCACAUGAUUAGUGAUUAGCUUUUGGAUGGGAGACAACAUUAAUGUACUGUAGUGUGAUUACUGAUUAGUUUUUGUAUGGGAGUCAACAUCAAUAAUUUUUUUUCAUCCAAUAAUGUGAGUCAUUUCAACCUGAUGGGGAGUCAUAUGAAACCAAUUUCAGUUGACUGGGGAGUGCUAUCUAACUAGUUUCAAUUAACUGGGAGUGCUUUAAAACUAGUUUCAAGAGACUUCGGGAGUCAUGUCUAGCGGGAGUAUCCUGAAACGUCUACACCGGAACAGUGACCUGGCGACCUCAUAGUC